rnacentral:lncRNA from 1 species
CAGCAUAGGACCGUAGCAUGGACUUGAAAGUUACCUCGUGAUGAAGGUAGGGGAAGACCAUGAUGCCUCCAUAAACAGAAGAGUUCUUCAGAUAGGGAAGAACGUCAUCAACUAGCACAUUAGGUGGGAUGUAACCGCCCUCAGGUGCGAUAUCCUUGGAUAUAGGUAUUCCCAGGAACAAUAGAUUAACGCCUCUAUAAUUAGACCACCUGUCCCAACUCCGGAAGAGGAGACUGGUAUCCUUUGGAGGCCUAAUCUGACAAGAUGGGUUAUCGAAAAAUUCCACCCGCACCUGAUCAACGAGUCCAGUUUUGAUAGUUGCGUCAAGAGCAGGGUCAGGAAUAGGACAUUCCGCCUCUACAGCUAAGAUCACAUUUGGGUAUCCCUUAAGUGCCCGAGCAAGAUCAUCCAAGUAAUUCGUGUUUCCGCUGUGGAUGUGAAUCUCUACGCCAUCUAAAACAGCUUUGCCGAAUGGUCGGUCACUUGACUGACCGCCUAAGUAAGUGUUCCAGAUAUAGGCUGCCACUUCUUCUGCAUCUUCGACGGAAGAAAGCCUCGGAGGUCCUGCGAGAGAAAUAAAGACUUUUGUCUGAUGUUUCUGGCAAGAUUCUAUGUCUGCUGCGCUCGGCCGAGGAUGAAUUAUGCUCAAUUGAGGCAUCUGGCCACUGCCGAAAUCUUCCAGAAAGGCAAUAUUAACGUCGGUAGCGAAUUCUCGCCUGCAGAACUCACUCACACUUUUUGGUUCUGUAUGGCCUCGGCCCCAGUAUCGGACAAUUCCGGCAGCUUCGGAGGACCCAAUCAGAGAAGCAAUCAACAACAGGAAUGUUAUUGCUGAGAACAGUGGUUGCAAAGAGGCAGCCAUUUUCUUUUCUUUCUUUUCAGUGAUUUUUGCAGCUUCGCUUUGGUGAGUUCACUUGCACAAUGACUGACCAUUUUAUAGAUGAGUUUAUCUCAAGUGGAUGUUCAGCAUCUAGAAAAUCCAAACAUCCGUACAUGAAAACGUGAAUGGCAUAGUAUUAUUUUUCUGUUUUUAAUUUUGCGGGAGACUACCGUUGUACUCGCCUAACCUCAUCUGCAAUUGGAUGAAGAAAGAUUUUUUUUUUGGACGUUACAUGGCAGCUAUGGGGGGAAGGGGAACAGGUCCAAAGCCAAGCUCCAAAGCCAAUUCCCAGUUGGUUGUAGUUAAAGGGAUCUUCCUCUAACCUGCCGUCACAUCCUUUCCAGAAGCCAAGACAGCAGAAACUAUGUCCACAGCCGAGAUAUGUCUCUGCUGAAACAUACCACAACAUUAUUGAAAGCCAAUCCCCGGACCUGACCAACAAAUGAGUUUUGAGUGGCAGUCCAGGUGCAAAUGCAACCUCAUUGUGAUACAACACGGAGAAAAAGGUCUAAUGGUUAAGGCCGAGAUUUCAAUAAUUGGAGAUGUUUUAGGCUCAAAACCCUCUUUGCUUCUUAAAUUCCACCCUUCAAUCCUACGUUAUUGAAGGCUCAAAACAUAUUGAGCCUUCAACUACUCAUCCUAUUUUUCUAGAAUUUUAAUUAUUUUUUCAAAAAUUGAUUCAUGCCUUCCGUUUGGAUUCACCAUAAUGUCAUGCAAUGCAUUGUUGCUUUUAAUUCCUUAAUUUUAACGUAGCCCCAAACAUGGCAUACAAUAGUCACUCUCAAAAUAAAUGCAAGUAAUUAAUCAUACCAAACAUAACGUUUGGAUUAGGUAUUGUAGCAUACCUUAGUUUUAUUCUGUUCCCUGUUUUACUUAGUUUCAAACAUGCCCUACAAUGUUCAAUAAUGCAAUUAAAUAAACAUACCAAAAAUAUCUAUAUAUAUUUGAAACUAAAAAUAAUUAUAUCCAUAAUAAUCAAUAUAAAAAAUUGACUGUCGCGCCCCACUUUUUGAAAUGGUGUGGAAAUAGUGUGUGAAAUGCAUGUGAACGUGUGCAAAAGUGAAAAGAAAAGACCGUGGGAUUGUGAAAUGCGACGGUUUGGUCAAAUAAAGUUCAAAAGGGUAUUUUUGUAUGAAAAAUGGAGUCGCCACUUGGUAUAGAGUUAGGGUGUACCAAGUCACCCAAAGAUGAUUUUUAUUUUUGAACGAAAAAGUAAAUAAAUCCUUUUAAAGAACUUUUAGGUCUACGUAACCAAAGAAAGGGAUCGGGGGUCACAUUUGAUAAGGGAGAAGGCAAAGGCAAUGCUUAAGGCACUCCCUUACCCUAGCCAAAGCUAGUUGCGUGACUUAACCCCACUUUUCCUAAUUAUUCUACCCAAAGUAUGUAUCGUAUGUUGGAUAUGACUAAUGGAUGCGAAAAGGAAAAAAAAUGCAAUCCUAAAUCUAAAAUGUUUCUCGUGAGACUUUUAGGUCCCAACCACAUGAAUUGUGGUGGCCAAUAAGGAAAGCUCUCAUGGAAGUCGUGAUUAAUGUAAGUGAGGACUCAAGUGCAAGUGUGCAAGUGUGAGAAAAUAAAGGUGUUUGUGUGUGCAAAUGAAUAAAAAUAGGAUAUUAGAUACGUAUAAGUGCAAUUUGAGUGCCAUUUGUGAGAUAGGAAAAAUAAAUGAGGGAUAGGAAAAAAGUGGUGAGAAAAUGGAUUGAGAAAAAUCUAAGUAGUGAGAAAAUGUGGCUAAAAGAGUUAGGAGGUGAUAUAAAAGAAUGCAAGUGUAUGACCCUAAGGGAAUGCAUCAAGUCGGGCACGGGAAGGACUUCUAACUUUACGACUUUAAUUUUCCCUUGGAUUAGAAGGAAGAACUAGCAUGCUAAGGCUAUUUUGUAGCCAAACUCGCUCGUUUCCCUUAUCGAAAGGGGACUCUCAAGCAAAUGUAUCCUAUAACUAGCAUGAGGAUGCAAAAAGCCUAAAAUGAGGGGAAAAGGAUUGGAGGAGCAUGCCAAAUGAUAAAAACUAAGAAAAAUGCAUGAAAUGUAGUGAACAUGCAAGUAUGCACUAACGAAAGGGGAACGGCUUAUUGGGUCUAGCGUUGGACUAGCCCUUUCUAUGAAUUUCUAACGAAAUAAUGAGCCACAACUAGCAUUGGACUAGUGUGGUGACGUACAUUCAUCCAUCACAUUCAUCUACGACUAUAGAAAGCAAGUAGACAUACCAAACACUCAUAAACACAUAACACAUAACACUUAGCAUGCUCGACUAGAUGCAAGAACCUAAUAAAGCAAAUUAACACAUAGCCACAAAAGCAAGCAACCAAGCUAAUAGACCUAUUACAUUUGCUAGUUAGGCAUACGUUUUCAAUAGAUCUUCAUCAAAUGCUCCUCCAAGCCCUAUCUAUUACAAGCCAAGAGGUGUACACAUACCCCAUAAAAGAAUAACUUAAUUAAAAGCAAAAGUAAAUGAAAUAAAGGAACUAAAGAAAGGCGAGGAAAGCAAAUUAGACAUGCAAAUCUCACUUAGCACGUUGGAUCACAUAGGAGAGACAAAAAAGGAUAAAAGAAAUUAUACCUCCCCCUUUUUGUGGUGCCAAUAAAGUGGAUAAAACUUAACUUGGGCUAUAGUCACCAAAGAAAGGGAUAACUUGGGUUAAAACCAUCAAACAAAGAAUUAAUGUACCAAUUUAGUGGUAAGAUGUAAACAAGACAAUUUGAAUCCACCAAAGUAUCAAAUCCUUCCUCGAGGGCAACUCAAAUGAAGCCAAAUAAUGCAUGAAAACCAAGGAAACGGAAUGACACAUUCCAUUCCCAAAUAUGGCAUCUAUUAGGGACCCAAAAGUAAUCCUUGACCAAUCAUUCAAGGCCAAAUUAAAACCUUUUAGGAACUUUAAAGGUCCAAGAGCAAGAAAAGGUCAAGUUGCCAAUUUAUUUAGGGAAGUUAAAGAAAAUAGGCAAGCACGAGUUCAUUUAGGCACAAAGUUCACAAAUUCAUGCAUUAAGUACCACCUAAACAAAACAUGGUAAUUAAUGAAAGCAAACAAACAAUCGAGUUGAAAAAAUGAGGCUACCAAGGAUUCAAUUGCGAACAUUAACCAAGCACUCAAGUCGAAUUAAACAUUUUUAGGAACUUCAAGGGUCCAAGGGCAAAGAAAAGGUCAAGUAAUGGCUCAAAAUUCAAUUAUUCUAAGACCUAUUUGCAAGAAAUUAGAACUCAAUUGAGUCUUUGUAGCAUUGCUGCAAAAUUACAAGGACCAAAUUGAUUAGUUUUUCCAAUUUCUGGGUCAUAGUAGCAUAAGGGGAAACUUGAGGGGGUUAAAAGGCAAUUUUCUUGGACAUUUCUCAUGCAAGAGCAUGCAACACACGUAGGAAGCUUGUUUCUGCAAUAUUUCUGUCAUGCUUUAUCAACCGAAACAACAUUCAAAACAGAUUUCAAAUCCACAUACACAGCUUUAAACUAAGCAGCGAACCAUCAUCCAAACAAACAGAAAACUUAGCAAGAUCCAGUGCAAAAAAUGAAAUGCAUUCGGCAAGUUGAAAGAUCUGGAAACAUAUGAAACUGGUUCGGCAAGUCCUGGUUUGUUCAUUUUUAGCAAUUGUCUGGUCAUAGUUCAAGUGUUUAAAACCCAAAUAUGCAAGUUCAAACCAAUCUUCCACUGCCCCCUUCCCACACAAAACUAACUAACAAAAAUAGAAGAGGCUAAAGCCUGUUGAAAGGUCACAGAAAAAGGCAGAGAGCAAAGUAGGUGCGGAAACCUUUGCUCUACUGCAAUUUUCUGUUACAAGUUCGCAACUCCAACUUGCGCGAAUGAAUGCAGAAAUGCAACAAAACCCAAAGAGGGAAACUCGUGACAAAGGUGAACACCACAUACCAAACCAAACCAAGCAAAACUUUAACAAAUAAAGGAAGGAAGCAAGGUUCGUCCCUACUGCUGCAACAAGCCGAGGGCUUUGAAUUCGUUGCAGCAGCUUUGAAUCACUUAGCUACAACCAAACAAGACGCAGACUUUAUGAACAAAAUCCAGCAACUUUAUUUUCCUAACACUAGGAAUGGACAUUUCCUAAACUGAAACAAACAUAGCCAUGCUGGUUCAAUUAACAAGAGCAGCGAACAAAAAGAAAGCAAAGCAAUGUAGCCAAGUCGACAUGAACGACGCUGCAGCAGAUUUUCUGUUAUGGACUUUCCAAACACAUUUUUUAACUCCAGAUGCUGUUCAUGGGAUUUCACUCAAUCAUAGAUAACAAAAACAAGCAAGGUCAAUUGAGUCACAACUUCAGCAAGACAAAGGAGAAGAAGCCAACAUAUCCGAAUUGCUGCAACAAGUCAAAAAGAUUCAAUCUUGUUGCGGCAAGCUCUUAACCUAAGGACCCAAAAACAAAAGGCCAAAUUCACAGAAGGGACCUCAACAUCAGUCAUCAAAGCACUGAACAACAUCCAGGCUCUUCACAGUCCCAUCAUCUUAAACAGAUUCACAGUGAAUGCAUACAAGAGAAAGCUUCAGUAUUUCAUGAAUCCAGUGACUAAAAACAGGUAAAAGCUAUUACCUUUACGCUUUUCAAAAGCCAAAUGGGAGCUGAGAUGAUCGAUAGAAAGGGGUGUACACAUACCCCAUAAUUUUAUAUGUUACCAUAUAACCCUUUUAUGAUUUAAUGCUUUACUAUAUAACUCUCUUAUUGUUUUCACUAUAUAUACAUAACUCGCUUGUAGUCAAUAAAUAAUUUUCAACUUUAUAGACGAGCAUUUUUUAUAUUUUAAUUGACUUCGUCAUAGAUUGCAAAUUUCGUUACUUUGAUACUUUAAUUCAAAUCAUGAGCAGAUUAUAUAUAAUUUUUAAAAUUAUGAGAAGCUUAUGUAUAAAAAAUAUUAAACUAUAGGGGGAUAAAGUAUAAUUUGCCCGUAUAGCGUCCCGCCCCUCUCCUCUCACUGGAUUGCCUCUCACUGGAUUGGGAGGACUGUAGUAUGAAAGGCUGCAUGCAUGCAACGUCCAGCCUCUCUACAAAUAUUUAGAACCAUAUAGAGAUGAUGCUUUAUCUGAGCUUACUUUAUCAGAAGACCAAUACCAAAGAAAUUGGAUACGCAUCUCCUUAACACUACUACUCCAUCAUUAUUAGCUAGUGUUAUUAUUGAUUUGGUAGUAGUAUUCCUGCCACUUGGCUGCAUUAAAUAAGCUUAUUAAUCAAUUACCUUGAUUGUUUAUUCCAACAAAUUGCCGAAUAAUUAUAUUAAUUAACACUUACUCCAUGAAGUAUGUAACUAUUGCCGCUGCAGCUUAAGGGAUUCAGAUUUUCUGUAAUCACAGCAGUGUCAGCAGCGUACACUUAGUUGUGGCUUGAAAUUAGAAAGAUAGAUUGAAUAGAUUGAUAAAAUUUAUUAUGUAUUCUUUGGUUAUUGCUGCAGUAUCUAUCUACAUAUUUGGUCUUUAACAUUUAAUAUUUACGUCCAUUAUAUUCUGUAGUUAUAUUGUUGUAAUGAUUUCCACGAAGACUUCCAAGUCAUCGUGCCUGUUUCAAGCCACCGUGAGCCAUCGUUCCGAACAAUGGAGGUUCUUGCGUGAAUAUGUUUGUAUGGGAGAACGAAUAUGUAUCUAAUGAUACACAGAACAACUGAAAGAAAAAUGUUUAUAACAUUUGUUUUGCUGAAGAAUAGACAAAAAUUCAAAAUCAAACAAGUACGAUUGAACUUCAUGCGACAAUUUUAUUUAAUUUGGGCAUGAAUGACCAGCCCGUUGUUUAUUUAUUUAUCAUUUUCCUCUCCGGGAUUAACAACCAGGAGUACAUUUGAUUUCAUCCCUCCUUCGGUAGAUAGCGAUCGAGAGGAACUGAUCAGACAGCACCAGCAUAGGACCGUAGCAUGGACUUGAAAGUUACCUCGUGAUGAAGGUAAGGGAAGACCAUGAUGCCUCCAUAAACAGAAGAGUUCUUCAGAUAGGGAAGAACGUCAUCAACUAGCACAUUAGGUGGGAUGUAACCGCCCUCAGGUGCGAUAUCCUUGGAUAUAGGUAUUCCCAGGAACAAUAGAUUAACGCCUCUAUAAUUAGACCACCUGUCCCAACUCCGGAAGAGGAGACUGGUAUCCUUUGGAGGCCUAAUCUGACAAGAUGGGUUGUCGAAAAA